CUUCACGGUUGCCAAGCAUGUAUGGAUUCUCACUUGGCUUCUCAAAAACUGAGAUCAGCUGGUGCUUGUGUAAAAGCCACAGCUUCUGCAACUGGUGAACAGCAGAAGCAACUUCUACAAGAAUGAGGGACUGGAUUGAUUGACACCGCUAUGUAGGAGCUCUGAAAAAGAAAGAAAGCCAAACAGAGAACAUUGAAAUUUCUUCACAGAUGCAUAGGCAAGUAUCCAAUAUACUACAUUGAACAUCACUUUAUUCAUUUUCUCAACAAUCUAAAUCAUCAUGGUUGUACAGUUAUAAUGAGACAUUACAUGAAAAAUUAAAAUAGAAAA